rnacentral:rRNA from 1 species
GACAGAGGGUGCAAGCGUUGUUCGGAAUUACUGGGCGUAAAGCGAGUGUAGGCGGCGUGGUAAGUCGGAUGUGAAAGCCCCGGGCUCAACCCGGGAAGUGCACUCGAUACUGCCACGCUAGAGUAUCGGAGAGGUUGGUGGAAUUCUCGGUGUAGAGGUGAAAUUCGUAGAUAUUCGGAAGAACACCAGUGGCGAAGGCGACUCACUGGCCCAUUACUGACGCUGAGGCGCGAAGGCGUGGGGAGCAAACAGG